rnacentral:rRNA from 1 species
CCAUAACUACUGGAAACGGUAGCUAAUACCGCAUAACGUCGCAUAACCAAAGAGGGGGACCUUCGGGCCUCUUGCCAUCGGAUGUGCCCAGAUGGGAUUAGCUAGUAGGUGGGGUAACGGCUCACCUAGGCGACGAUCCCUAGCUGGUCUGAGAGGAUGACCAGCCACACUGGAACUGAGACACGGUCCAGACUCCUACGGGAGGCAGCAGUGGGGAAUAUUGCACAAUGGGCGCAAGCCUGAUGCAGCCAUGCCGCGUGUAUGAAGAAGGCCUUCGGGUUGUAAAGUACUUUCAGCGGGGAGGAAGGGAGUAAAGUUAAUACCUUUGCUCAUUGACGUUACCCGCAGAAAAAGCACCGGCUAACUCCGUGCCAGCAGCCGCGGUAAUACGGAGGGUGCAAGCGUUAAUCGGAAUUU